UUAAGCGACUAAGCGUACACGGUGGAUGCCCUGGCAGUCAGAGGCGAUGAAGGACGUGCUAAUCUGCGAUAAGCGUCGGUGAGGUGAUAUGAACCGUUAUAACCGGCGAUUUCCGAAUGGGGAAACCCAGUGUGUUUCGACACACUAUCAUUAACUGAAUCCAUAGGUUAAUGAGGCGAACCGGGGGAACUGAAACAUCUAAGUACCCCGAGGAAAAGAAAUCAACCGAGAUUCCCCCAGUAGCGGCGAGCGAACGGGGAGGAGCCCAGAGCCUGAAUCAGUGUGUGUGUUAGUGGAAGCGUCUGGAAAGGCGUGCGAUACAGGGUGACAGCCCCGUACACAAAAAUGCACAUAUUGUGAGCUCGAUGAGUAGGGCGGGACACGUGGUAUCCUGUCUGAAUAUGGGGGGACCAUCCUCCAAGGCUAAAUACUCCUGACUGACCGAUAGUGAACCAGUACCGUGAGGGAAAGGCGAAAAGAACCCCGGCGAGGGGAGUGAAAAAGAACCUGAAACCGUGUACGUACAAGCAGUGGGAGCCUCUUAAUGGGGUGACUGCGUACCUUUUGUAUAAUGGGUCAGCGACUUAUAUUCUGUAGCAAGGUUAACCGAAUAGGGGAGCCGAAGGGAAACCGAGUCUUAACUGGGCGUUAAGUUGCAGGGUAUAGACCCGAAACCCGGUGAUCUAGCCAUGGGCAGGUUGAAGGUUGGGUAACACUAACUGGAGGACCGAACCGACUAAUGUUGAAAAAUUAGCGGAUGACUUGUGGCUGGGGGUGAAAGGCCAAUCAAACCGGGAGAUAGCUGGUUCUCCCCGAAAGCUAUUUAGGUAGCGCCUCGUGAAUUCAUCUCCGGGGGUAGAGCACUGUUUCGGCAAGGGGGUCAUCCCGACUUACCAACCCGAUGCAAACUGCGAAUACCGGAGAAUGUUAUCACGGGAGACACACGGCGGGUGCUAACGUCCGUCGUGAAGAGGGAAACAACCCAGACCGCCAGCUAAGGUCCCAAAGUCAUGGUUAAGUGGGAAACGAUGUGGGAAGGCCCAGACAGCCAGGAUGUUGGCUUAGAAGCAGCCAUCAUUUAAAGAAAGCGUAAUAGCUCACUGGUCGAGUCGGCCUGCGCGGAAGAUGUAACGGGGCUAAACCAUGCACCGAAGCUGCGGCAGCGACACUAUGUGUUGUUGGGUAGGGGAGCGUUCUGUAAGCCUGUGAAGGUGGCCUGUGAGGGUUGCUGGAGGUAUCAGAAGUGCGAAUGCUGACAUAAGUAACGAUAAAGCGGGUGAAAAGCCCGCUCGCCGGAAGACCAAGGGUUCCUGUCCAACGUUAAUCGGGGCAGGGUGAGUCGACCCCUAAGGCGAGGCCGAAAGGCGUAGUCGAUGGGAAACAGGUUAAUAUUCCUGUACUUGGUGUUAAUAUUCCUGUACUUGGUGUUACUGCGAAGGGGGGACGGAGAAGGGCUAUGUUGGCCGGGCGACGGCUAUGUGUUGGCCGGGCGACGGUUGUCCCGGUUUAAGCGUAGCGUGUAGGCUGGUUUUCCAGGCAAAUCCGGAAAACCAAGGCUGAGGCGUGAUGACGAGGCACUACGGUGCUGAAGCGACAAAUGCCCUGCUUCCAGGAAAAGCCUCUAAGCAUCAGGUAACAUCAAAUCGUACCCCAAACCGACACAGGUGGUCAGGUAGAGAAUACCAAGGCGGUAGAGAAUACCAAGGCGCUUGAGAGAACUCGGGUGAAGGAACUAGGCAAAAUGGUGCCGUAACUUCGGGAGAAGGCACGCUGAUAUGUAGGUGAAGCGACGCACGCUGAUAUGUAGGUGAAGCGACUUGCUCGUGGAGCUGAAAUCAGUCGAAGAUACCAGCUGGCUGCAACUGUUUAUUAAAAACACAGCACUGUGCAAACACGAAAGUGGACGUAUACGGUGUGACGCCUGCCCGGUGCCGGAAGGUUAAUUGAUGGGGUUAGCGGCAACGCGAAGCUCUUGAUCGAAGCCCCGGUAAACGGCGGCCGUAACUAUAACGGUCCUAAGGUAGCGAAAUCGGUCCUAAGGUAGCGAAAUUCCUUGUCGGGUAAGUUCCGACCUGCACGAAUGGCGUAAUGAUGGCCAGGCUGUCUCCACCCGAGACUCAGUGAAAUUGAACUCGCUGUGAAGAUGCAGUGUACCCGCGGCAAGACGGAAAGACCCCGUGAACCUUUACUAUAGCUUGACACUGAACGAACCUUUACUGAGCCUUGAUGUGUAGGAUAGGUGGGAGGCUUUGAAGUGUGGACGCCAGUCUGCAUGGAGCCGACCUUGAAAUACCACCCUUUAAUGUUUGAUGUUCUAACGUUGGCCCGUAAUCCGGGUUGCGGACAGUGUCUGGUGGGUAGUUUGACUGGGGCGGUCUCCUCCUAAAGAGUAACGGAGGAGCACGAAGGUUGGCUAAUCCUGGUCGGACAUCAGGAGGUUAGUGCAAUGGCAUAAGCCAGCUUGACUGCGAGCGUGACGGCGCGAGCAGGUGCGAAAGCAGGUCAUAGUGAUCCGGUGGUUCUGAAUGGAAGGGCCAUCGCUCAACGGAUAAAAGGUACUCCGGGGAUAACAGGCUGAUACCGCCCAAGAGUUCAUAUCGACGGCGGUGUUUGGCACCUCGAUGGCGGUGUUUGGCACCUCUGAUGUCGGCUCAUCACAUCCUGGGGCUGAAGUAGGUCCCAAGGGUAUGGCUGUUCGCCAUUUAAAGUGGUACGCGAGCUGGGUUUAGAACGUCGUGAGACAGUUCGGUCCCUAUCUGCCGUGGGCGCUGGAGAACUGAGGGGGGCUGCUCCUAGUACGAGAGGACCGGAGUGGACGCAUCACUGGUGUUCGGGUUGUCAUGCCAAUGGCACUGCCCGGUAGCUAAAUGCGGAAGAGAUAAGUGCUGAAAGCAUCUAAGCACGAAACUUGCCCCGAGAUGAGUUCUCCCUGAGCAAGGGCCCUUCGACUCCUGAAGGAACGUUGAAGACGACGACGUUGAUAGGCCGGGUGUGUAAGCGCAGCGAUGCGUUGAGCUAACCGGUACUAAUGAACCGUGAGGCUUAACCUU
rnacentral:rRNA from 1 species